CAAAGUACAAUGAACGGGAAGAGUACAGAUUUUGUUUCCAUGCAGAGAGGGAAAUCAGCUGCUGAAAGAUUUCCUAUGCGAAACAGGCUGGAAGGUCGCCCGGGAGUAGCUUUUGUGAAACCGAAAGUAGCAAAAGCCGGCGAAGUGCCGUUACUGACCCGAGAGUGCCGGGCAUCCGUUUGCCCGUGAAAAAAGGUGGUACCGCGAACAGACUCCUUUCGUCCUUUUA
rnacentral:ncRNA from 1 species